rnacentral:lncRNA from 1 species
UGCCCAUGAAUCCAAGUCAUAUCCCGCAUGGCCCUCGGUUGACCAAAUGUCGCUUUGCGUCAUUACUACAUGAAUACCUACAUCGUACCUGCCAAAAUAGGGUACACAGCGCCGCUAUAACUAGCUGGCAUAUUAGUUAAUAGAACUCAUCGUCGAUCCCGUUGUGAUAUCCAAGUAUUGAGUUUCCAUCAUAUCUUAUACGGUAACUUGAGAACUUCGUCUUAAUCCGCGCGCUUUUGUUCAACAUUUCCGAAACUCACGAA